GUUUUAAUAAUUUAAAUAAAAUAUUGGUCUUGUAAAUCAAAAAUAAGUCCCAUCUUUUAAAACA
rnacentral:tRNA from 1 species